rnacentral:rRNA from 1 species
CGCCAACACUGGGACUGAGACACUGCCCAGACUCCUACGGGAGGCUGCAGUCGAGAAUCUUUCGCAAUGGGCGAAAGCCUGACGAAGCGACGCUGCGUGAGCGAUGAAGGCCUUCGGGUCGUAAAGCUCUUUCGCGCAAGAACAAAGAAUCUGGGUAAAUAACCUAGGAACUUGAGGGUACUGCGUAAAGAAGCACCGGCUAACUCCC